CCGGCCCUGCCAUUUCUACUUAUUUACGUUGUUCCAAAUUAUCAAAGAUAGCAUCAACUUUCAAAUCCUAAUUUUUUUUUUCCUGGGAAACCUUCCUCCUUUAGCCUUCAGUCUCCUCUCUAAACUGGGUUGGGCCUCAGUUCUUCUCAUACCGGGUCUCCCCUUCCUGCUGUCCUGGGUUGUAUCUUCCGCUUCCUAGAUUUAAGGUCUUUAUUUUUCAGCCAAGAUGGGUCAUCCUCAUGGCUGGUGGCAUUGGACUGUAAAUACUAGUUGCCUUCAUCCCCACAUUUGGAAUAUACCUGCAAUCAUACAGGAUGCAGAAUACUGUUUGCUAAGCGUGGGGCUGGUUGCUGGAGAUAACAAGCAAGGCCUACCAGGUCCCUGCUGUCAUUCUGGCUCUGGAUCUACUUGCUUGGCUCCCCUGCCAGCCCUAGUAUAUCGAGCCUUCCUUUUUAUUCAAUAGUGUUUUUUAUUGCUGACUUUUCAGUCAAGAUUUCUUUGUGUUUUCUGGCCUACCCUUGCUGUUUUUCACCUGAAAUGCUUUUUGGCUUUUAGUGUGACUCCUGCUGAUCUCAUAUGCAUAUGUUAUUAAUUGAUUAAUUAUU
rnacentral:lncRNA from 10 species